rnacentral:rRNA from 1 species
GAUGAACGCUAGCUACAGGCUUAACACAUGCAAGUCGAGGGGUAGCAGGGUAGCAAUACCGCUGACGACCGGCGCACGGGUGAGUAACACGUAUCCAACCUUCCCAUAACUCUGGGAUAGCCUUUCGAAAGAAAGAUUAAUACCGGAUGGUACUUUUUCAAGGCAUCUUGAGAAAGUUAAAGAUUUAUUGGUUAUGGGUGGGGAUGCGUUCCAUUAGAUAGUUGGUGAGGUAACGGCUCACCAAGUCUUCGAUGGAUAGGGGUUCUGAGAGGAAUGUCCCCCACAUUGGUACUGAGACACGGACCAAACUCCUACGGGAGGCAGCAUGGAGGAAUAUUGGUCAAUGGGCUAGAGCCUGAACCAGCCAAGUAGCGUGAAGGAUGAAGGUCCUAUGAAUUGUAAACUUCUUUUAUAGUAGAAUAAAGUGAUCCACGUGUGGAUUUUUGUAUGUAUACUAUGAAUAAGGAUCGGCUAACUCCGUGCCAGCAGCCGCCGUAA